AGAAACUGAGACCCAGAGAGGAUUAAGUAACUUCUCCAAGUAAAGCUGAGGCUGAGUCCACUUCUGAUGGCAACAUUUAAUGAAUCUACUGUUGACUUAAGAAUGUACCAACCUGUAGACAACUUUUAUGAGCGUUUAUUUGAACCAAAACUGAUGACAAUUGCAGGAAAGCAAGAUCUCAAGUGCUUCAGAAAUCGACGGUUUUGCAGCUUCUUAUAUGAAUUGGAAAUUAAGGAGGAAGUGUAAGGAAGAUUACACGAAGGUGGAAGAAAGCAAGGUACCAUCAUGCUUGAACUGCCGUAGCAAAAGGGACCCAGAAUAACAAGAUGUUCUGUUCCAAGCAGAUGCCACUCUGAUCUGAGCUGGGGACACAGCUGCUCAGUAGUAAUCAACACGCCAGUUUCUGUUUUAAUCCUUUUCAACUGCAGAGGGGAGGCAAGGUAUUAAACGGUGAGAGAGCUCCUGGCACAGUGUGUGUAGAAGGCACCUUUAUUUCUGCAAGACAAGCUCAGCUUGCUGCUUAGAUUCUGAAGGUUGGUGCUGGUCUUAAUCAUCUGCCAUCUGAAUGGGCAUCUCCAGGCAGUUCUGAUGGUCAGCAGGAUUAAGGAGCACUGGCCCAGCCACCUGAACUGUCCUUUGGUUAUCUGAGAUCAGUGGGCUAUCCCAGUUCAACACAAAUAGGCAGCCAAGGACUUUCCUGGCUUGUUGGAGAUAGAGAUAAUGAUGAAGAUGAUGAUGAUAACAGUGGCCUUUUGAUCACUGACUAUGUGCCUAGCACUUGCUUUACACAAACUGGUUCUCUCUAAUCUUUGUAACAAUGUUCCUAAUACUGCUGAAUAUCGCCCACACUAAGAAAUUCAUUUUCUAUUGUAACGCAUUAUACAUGUAUGUGCUUGUAAACAUUCCAUCAAAUGUCACACUGUGUGCAUUUUCUACUCCAUUCUGCUGUAUUUUAGGUUUUUAAAAUGUUGGUCAUCCUGCACUAAAUUGAUUUAGUAAUCUGCAGUUCAAGAUUAAAGGUGAGUAUGGUUGUCCCCAUUAUCCUAGCAAAACAAUCAAAGGUGAAAUGGAUUAAGCAACAUGCUCAAGGCAACACAAAUCCCAGUCCUCUGAAAACUCCAUGCUUUUUCUCGCAUGUCAUCCCUCCUCCCAAAUUACAAAGCCCCUGCUAUUGGGACAAAUGCCUCAGUGCAGCAGAGAAGUGAUGAUAACCACAGCAGUGACAUAAAAAAUAAUACCAGCUGAUACCUUGUAAGCCCAGACGACAUGGCAGCCAUUGUGCUAAGUGGAAGUGUAACGUGCCACCUAAUUUAAGUGAUGGAGAAAUAGCACCAGAGAGACAACAUAAUGCAAUGGGGUGCAUACUGAAUGGAGCACUGGAAGUUGCGUAUUUGCUCAGCUCUCAUCCCUGACUCUCACUAACCCCCUGCAGCCUCAGAACUCCAGUCUCAGAUGACUCCACUGUUUACGGAGAUCGAUGAUGCUCCUGACUCCAGCGAACAACACCUGCCCCUCCUGUUAGUUAUAUUAAGGAUCAAAAGUGCUAAAGCCUUUUGUAAACGGUACAAAUGUCAGUUCUUUACUUGUUUACCGUUCUUGAAAGGCCCACUUUGCAACAAGGUUGGAAAAAUGCAAAGCCCUCAGCUUUGUCCUUUCAUCAAAGGAGGCAAAUAGGAAAGUCAUAGUGUUCCCUGCUUCAGAAAAAUGGACCUGACACAGCAGGGCAUUUUGUCCAAAAAAAAAAAAAAAUCCUGUUUCUUUCCAACAAAGGUAACAUAGCUGUCUGGUCUAAUGGCUAACAUGUACCCUUCAAGCAGGGGUUUGUUCCUUCCAGGGCCACUUGGGAUGUGAGUUUCUUAACCUCCAUGCCACAUAGGCCCUGAUGAUAUAACACAAUAUGGGAUGUGGGGCCACAGCGCUGGGUUGUAAUCCUGGUUCUAGCCUGCAGUGGCACAUAGAAGGCAGUACAUUUGGGCAUGUCACUGAUCUCUCCAAGUGUCAGCACCCACAUCUGUAAAUUGAGGGAAUGAUGACACCAUUUUCCGGGUGCAGUUGUGAGGAUCGGCAUAUUAAUAGGACCCGUAUGAUAACAUCAUCACUGCCCGAGACUCAGUUUCCCCAGAUCAGGAUUAUUGUGCGGACUGCAGGGAGGGUAGGUCCCUGAGACCGUCCAUGGCAGGAUGAGUGGCUCUAUAUCUGUUACCCCUCUCCUUGGCUGGGGAAAAGGGAAAUCCACAUUCCUUCUUGCUCAUUCUUGGGGGCUCUCUUUGUGUCGAAUGAUGUGCUUUGCACAUAGUAGGCUCUUUGGCUAGUACUUGUGAAGAGAAGAAAACCAUUUCAGGAGCAGGUUAACCAAGAUUCCAGAGGGCUGAGGGGCCCAGGCCAGAGUAAAUCUCCUAAAGUGGAUUCCAGGAAGGAGAAGACGCCAUAGGAAGUAAGCUUACCGCUGGUGAGGAGUGUUCAGGAGGCAUGAGGGUAAGGUGCCAAAUAGACUGAAAACCUCAUGUCUCCCUGAUAUCAUUCAUUCAUUCAUUCAUUCAUGCACUAGUAAAUGAGACCCCUUGUUUUCUUCUCUGAGAUACUAAGCCCAAGGAAAAGUUCUGUCUUCAACACCACCCUCAGAAACACCAGCUUGGCCAGCCUCAAAGGCCUUCCAAAAACCGGAGUCACGAGGCCUGGCAGCUCUGACCAGACAGGCUGCAGAGCAGUGAGCAGGGCCGGAGCUGAUGCGGCAUCUUUUCUGCACACAAGGCAAUCGCACCCACGGUCCGUGAAAAACACAGGGCACGGGGCCAGGACCCUGCCCUCCAGCCCCAGUUCUUCUCACACUAGCUGUGAGCCCAAGGGUGAGUCACUUGACCUCCCUGGGUAUGCGUGCUUGUUUGUAUGUCAAUAUAACACUGUCAUGGAAAAGAAUGGGAAGAAGGCAAAACAGCUCUUUCAUGAAGUGACAAAUGUCAUUUAAUAUCAUGGCAAUGUACCUGGGACUAAUAUCACCUGGUACGUGUCCCGCACUUUGUGAAAACCUGCUGGAAGGUAAACCACUGUGGGGCAGGACUAGGGGCAGGUAAAUGAGGCACUCACCUUGGAUGCAAGAUUGAAGAGGAUGCCAAAAAAGUAAUCCAGGCCAAGGAUAUUCUAACGCAGGAUUGCUAGAAAUCCAUAUGAAUGCAAAAAUCCAUGAUAACUGAAACAUCAAUAUUUGAAUAAAAACAGGCUCCACCCCUGUGUUUGCCCGACACCGUCUCCCUUGCCUCCUCCUAGUCCCGGCUCUAUAGGUAGUGUCUGCACUUGGUGGGUAUGGUAGUACUAGUACUUUUCACACCUAGAGAGUACUCUUUAAUUCCUCAGACAUUAUUAGCCUCUUACUUGAAUUGCCCAACCAAUCCAAAGGGGAGUCAGGAAAAGGAAAGCCGAAUAUUCCUGUUUUAUAGUCAGAGCGGUGGCUUUAAUGGGAGAGACGUGGAUUCAAAUCCUGUAUCUGCCCCUUAAAGUAUGUGACCUAGGGCAACUUGCAAAUGCCCCUUUCCAGAGCCUCCAGACCUUUACCUGCCCCGUGGCUUCCUGCACUCUCCACCACUGCAGAGCUGACUUUGCACCCACUGAGAAGUCCCUUCUAGAUCUUGGAAGAACAUCUCUUCAUUUUAGACCCUUCAUUUUCCUACUGAAUUCACUCGCUCUCAUUCACUGUGAGAGUCUUCUACUGGUUGACUUAUUUCCUUCCUUAUCGGCGAAAGGAGCUGAGGGUCUAAACAAUCAUUUUCCACCAUAUGCACAGAGAAGCACAGCAAAUGGGGGAAGACAAAAGGCAAAUUUUCACAGAGAAGCAAAGAGACACCACACUGCCCUAGAGUCGGAGCAAGUGGCAGCCUGGGUUUCAGGCUUCUUUGUUCAGCUGGCUCCCCCAUCUGCCCUUGGCAUCCUUGCAAACACAACCUCACUUUUUCUUUAAAUGCACUGUUGAAGGUUUUCAUUAACUGUUAACCAAAGACAGUAUUUAUGAAAAAGCGAAACCUACUCUUAUAGUCAAUCUCAUGAAUUCACCUAUAGGUCUUCUUGAAGUUUUCAUUGCUUCUCCUCCUACUUGGAGUAAAGUUGUGCCUCUCCCAACCAAGAGGUAACACUGAAUUAUGUAAUUUGCAAAAUAUGCCAAAUAUAUAUCCAUUACUGCCUCAUCUGCCUAUGCAAAAUCACCCUUGGAUAUUUACAGAUUUACUUAUAUAGACUUUAAAGCAUUUAAUACUUUGGACUGCUCUGUACUUCCUGAGAUUUGAACAGUUACACAACACACCAAAGUGUGGUUUUUCACUCUCUUGAAAGAUUGUGAUCAUGAACUUAUCACAGGUUCAGUUAUUGAGAAGUUUUACUCUUUGGAGAAGAUGGUCUGGGGAUCUGUGAGUCAGACAUAGGGUACAAACCCCAGCGCUACCCCUUAUUUGCUGUGUGGUCUUGGGCCAGACACUUAAUCUGGGUAUUAUAAAUUUGAAAUUUAUAAAGUGGGAAUACUAUCUUCCUGGCAGGAGUUCUGUAAGAAUCAAAUAAGACUGUAUGUAUGAAGGCAUGAACUUAGCUCCAACAUACUGGGUAUAAGAAAUGUCACAUUUAUUUCUCCGAAUAAAAUUUAACCUAUGAACA